CGCGGGGUAGAGUAAUUGGCUAACUCGUUGGGCUCAUGACCCAAGCAUGCAGGUUCGAACCCUGCCUCCGCCA
rnacentral:tRNA from 2 species